rnacentral:rRNA from 1 species
CAGGAUUCUCUUAGUAACUGCGAGUGAACAGAGAUUAGCCCAACAUCGAAGCUUGCAAGCAUUUUGUUUGUUAAGCAAUGUGAUGUUAAGAUGUUUGCUAACGUAGACUGGCCAACUUGAAGUCCAAAUUUGAAUGUGGCAUAUAUGUAUAAACCCAAAGAUGGUGAAAGGCCCGUUCAAGUUGGUAAUCAGACAUGACAGUUUGCGUGUAUGCAUUCAUCUUGGAGUCGGAUUGCUUGAGAGUGCAGUCCAAAGUUGGUGGUAAACUCCAUCUAAGGCUAAAUACCUGUACGAGUCCGAU